CGGGGCGUAGCGCAGCCCGGUUAGCGCGCCUGCUUUGGGAGCAGGAGGCCGCGGGUUCGAAUCCCGCCGCCCCGA
rnacentral:tRNA from 1 species